rnacentral:lncRNA from 1 species
CGGCCGCGGGGCUGCAGCUCCCGGCUCGCACUCCAUCAUCGACGGAUGACAGCGGGAACGGUGGGAGUUCAUUACAGGGACCAUGAAUUGUUGGAGAGGAAUCUGAAGAAACGUGCUGGAUGUCCCCAGAGAAGGAGCUGAACCAUUUGAGUGGGGGCUUCACUGACUCUCCCCACACACAGGGCACCGGGGGAGAGCAGUCACAUGACCGGCAGGCGGGGGUUUUGACCCUGGUGGGAGGGGAUGAGGAGGGCACCAGUCCGGCCCUGAGACAACCCCCAAGACCAGCCCUGACUGGGACACUCUGCAGGAUGUCAAGCAGUGCCCCCAAAAGCUGUCAAGGCCGUCCUAGACCAGCGGGGCCUCAGGAGAUGGUGCAGAGUCCUGGACCAGACAAACGGCACUGGGAAAGCAGGAGCCCAAAGGAAGGCUGGAAUUCAGGGAAGAGCCACGUGCCAGGCUGUGACGAAGGCGACAAGAUGAAACAGUAGGGGGGCGGGGGAGGCAUCCAAACUCUAUGUGCUGUCUUUGCACUACUCUGUAAAUCUAACAUUAUUCGGAAGUGAAAGUUAAAAAUCA